rnacentral:lncRNA from 1 species
AGCAAGACAAAUAGGUUAAUGUGAUUCUACGCAUCGUUACAAGCAAUUUACACAUAGAGAACAUGUCCAACGGAGCUAUGGUUCAACAACUACAAGCUAAACAAGAAAUCACUACAAUCUGCCAAAACCAGCCACAUAGCAUUUUCUACACCCUACAACUAUGAGCUACACAAAUCCAAUAUGCUCAACCACGGCAUGAAGCAAUAGAGGCAAGAUGCACUACCACAUGCAACUUAUAACACCUAGCAUGGAAGCAUGGAUCACUAGGACAAGAAGUCACAAAAUGGCUUCUCACACACAGUUUCAGACUUGGUGAAAAUAACAGUUUAUGAAACUGCAGUUUUCGAUCUGAAGGCAUAUUGACAGCAGCAAAACCAUAAGCUACAUGACUCCAAAUGGCAUGAAAAUUCACAACAUGCUAGA